rnacentral:hammerhead_ribozyme from 1 species
AUCCAAUUGACGGGUCCUAAAUGGGACGAAAUGUUCAUCCUGGAU